UACGAAGGGGGCUAGCGUUGCUCGGAAUGACUGGGCGUAAAGGGCGCGUAGGCGGAUUGCACAGUCGGGCGUGAAAUUCCUGGGCUUAACCUGGGGGCUGCGUUCGAGACGUGAGGUCUGGAGUGCGGAAGAGGGUCGUGGAAUUCCCAGUGUAGAGGUGAAAUUCGUAGAUAUUCGGAAGAACACCAGUGGCGAAGGCGGCUCACUGGCCCGGUACUGACGCUGAGGUGCGAAAGCGUGGAGAGCAAACAGG
rnacentral:rRNA from 1 species